AGGUCAUCCCAUUUACGUGCUGUCCUCUCUUAGGAUAGACAGUAUAUUGCCAGUCUCACCCAUAAUGUGCUGAUGAGUUGUGUUGUAGGAGUAUGUAGCUUGUUUACUUGUUCAACCAUGUUUUCUGAUUCAAAGAUAUCAUAUGUUGCUGUCAAGUAUUUUUAGUCUGAGCUUCUUAAUAUCCAGUUUACUUUGCAGUCUUGGUUUCCCCAACUAAAAAUAGCUCUAAGACAACAAUAGCUUUUAGGUGGUUCCACUUUUUGGAUUAGACAUGAUUUGUUAAAAAAAGCAGCAACAUGUGAUGGUAGUUUGGUGCCUUCAUUCCAGAAGGAUCUUGGAGACAUUUACUAGCCUGCACUGAGUCUUACCACCUGCUCCUGUGCUACAGCUAGCUCUCCGCUGUGACACGGCAUUCCUCUUCUUCAAGUACCAUCAGAGCAGAUUAUCUUUUCUGGUUCAGAGAUAUUUUUUUCUGGCUGGGAUUUUUUUCUUUUUUUGGUAGGUAGAAUGAGCUAGAUUAGAAUUUGGCCUGAACCCUAAAGUGAAACAAACUUCCAGCUGAGAAAGAUCAUGGAGGCUUUCUUCGCACCCCUCCAAAAGGUCAGGAUCUCUGUAGUAUGUUCUCUUGGUAAGGUGACACCUGCAGGUAUACAGCACUUCUCCCAUCUUCCUGCGAUACCCGAACAGAAGUGACUCAGAAGGGAGGAGCUCUGUCUGCACUGAAUCACUAUUGCUUUCUAUAUUUAGCCUACAAAUUUAAAAGUCAAAUUCUGUCAAAAAUUCUGUUUAACCUGUAAGAUCCUAGCCUUGAGGACUACAGCUUCAAAAUGAUGCAGCAGGUUGUGGGGGUUUUUUUGUUUUGCAGUGCAAGUGGAAAUUUGAGCGUGUUACCGCUUGAGCAGUGGGAGUUGCGUCAACAUAGCAUCUACACACUCAUUGCUGCAACCCAGUAAGUGCCUGACCUGUGAUUUAAGAGAAGAGUGGUCCUGUGCUGCAGCUGAAUUUCCUUGGCUUGGGAAGUGGAAAGGAAGAAUGUGUCACCUGUAGUUGGAGUUCUGUGGCUGUGAGAGCAUUGCAGCAGAUGCAGUAUGAAGCAACACGCGCAAUUGACCCUGCGUUGUCUCCACAUGCAGUGAGGAGAUCAUACAGGAAAGUCCACAUAUACCAUAAUUGUGCUUCAGCUGUGGGUCCUCUGCUGGUAUUUUAUGCUGCUUCGGCCACCUCUGCCAUCGCUGUUCUGGUCUGCAGAGCAGGACUGCAGGAUGGCAGCC